rnacentral:rRNA from 1 species
GACGAACGCUGGCGGCGUGCUUAACACAUGCAAGUCGAACGGAGUGGCGAACGGGUGAGUAACACGUGGGUGACCUCCCCUGCACUUCGGGAUAAGCCUGGGAAACUGGGUCUAAUACCGGAUAGUGUGGGAUGGGCCCGCGGCCUAUCAGCUUGUUGGUGGGGUAAUGGCCUACCAAGGCGGCGACGGGUAGCCGGCCUGAGAGGGUGGACGGCCAAAUUGGGACAGAGACAGGGACCAGAGUGGAACGGGAGGCAGCAGUGGGGAAUAUUGGAAAAUGGGCGGAAGCAUGAUGGAGCGAGGGAGGGGGGGGGAAGACGGGGUUCGGGUUGUAAAGAGCUUUGACCAAAGAAGCGGUAGAAGGAGAAGAAGCACCGGCUAACUACGUGCCAGCAGCCGCGGUAAUUC